GGGCGGUUAGCUCAGUUGGCUAGAGCGCCUGCUCGACACGCAGGAGGUCGUAGGUUCAAGUCCUAUACCGCCCA
rnacentral:tRNA from 2 species